rnacentral:rRNA from 1 species
GGGCCCGCACAAGCGGUGGAGCAUGUGGUUUAAUUCGAAGCAACGCGAAGAACCUUACCAGGUCUUGACAUCCAGUGACAACUCUAGAGAUAGAGCUUUCCCUUCGGGGACACUGAGACAGGUGGUGCAUGGUUGUCGUCAGCUCGUGUCGUGAGAUGUUGGGUUAAGUCCCGCAACGAGCGCAACCCUUAUUACUAGUUGCCAGCAUUAAGUUGGGCACUCUAGUGAGACUGCCGGUGACAAACCGGAGGAAGGUGGGGAUGACGUCAAAUCAUCAUGCCCCUUAUGACCUGGGCUACACACGUGCUACAAUGGACGGUACAACGAGUUGCGAACUCGCGAGAGCAAGCUAAUCUACUAAAAACCGUUCUCAGUUCGGAUUGUAGGCUGCAACUCGCCUACAUGAAGCUGGAAUCGCUAGUAAUCGUGGAUCAGCAUGCCA